GGUUAAGCGACUAAGCGUACACGGUGGAUGCCCUGGCAGUCAGAGGCGAUGAAGGGCGUGCUAAUCUGCGAUAAGCGCCGGUAAGGUGAUAUGAACCGUUAUAACCGGCGAUACCCGAAUGGGGAAACCCAGUGUGACUCGUCACACUAUCAUUAACUGAAUCCAUAGGUUAAUGAGGCGAACCGGGGGAACUGAAACAUCUAAGUACCCCGAGGAAAAGAAAUCAACCGAGAUUCCCCCAGUAGCGGCGAGCGAACGGGGAGGAGCCCAGAGCCUGAAUCAGCAUGUGUGUUAGUGGAAGCGUCUGGAAAGGCGCGCGAUACAGGGUGACAGCCCCGUACACAAAAGCGCAUGUGCUGUGAGCUCGAUGAGUAGGGCGGGACACGUGGUAUCCUGUCUGAAUAUGGGGGGACCAUCCUCCAAGGCUAAAUACUCCUGACUGACCGAUAGUGAACCAGUACCGUGAGGGAAAGGCGAAAAGAACCCCGGCGAGGGGAGUGAAAAAGAACCUGAAACCGUGUACGUACAAGCAGUGGGAGCCCCACCACUAAGCCAGUGGUGAACUCCACAUACGCAUCCUUUGCUGAGGAUACGGUUAACGGAGCGAAAGCGACGUUCAACCGCAAAAGAAGCAGAGGGGGCUUAGUGGUGGGGUGACUGCGUACCUUUUGUAUAAUGGGUCAGCGACUUAUAUUCUGUAGCAAGGUUAACCGAAUAGGGGAGCCGGAGGGAAACCGAGUCUUAAUUGGGCGUUAAGUUGCAGGGUAUAGACCCGAAACCCGGUGAUCUAGCCAUGGGCAGGUUGAAGGUUGGGUAACACUAACUGGAGGACCGAACCGACUAAUGUUGAAAAAUUAGCGGAUGACCUGUGGCUGGGGGUGAAAGGCCAAUCAAACCGGGAGAUAGCUGGUUCUCCCCGAAAGCUAUUUAGGUAGCGCCUCGUGAAUUCAUCUCCGGGGGUAGAGCACUGUUUCGGCUAGGGGGCCAUCCCGGCUUACCAACCCGAUGCAAACUGCGAAUACCGGAGAAUGUUAUCACGGGAGACACACGGCGGGUGCUAACGUCCGUCGUGAAGAGGGAAACAACCCAGACCGCCAGCUAAGGUCCCAAAGUCAUGGUUAAGUGGGAAACGAUGUGGGAAGGCCCAGACAGCCAGGAUGUUGGCUUAGAAGCAGCCAUCAUUUAAAGAAAGCGUAAUAGCUCACUGGUCGAGUCGGCCUGCGCGGAAGAUGUAACGGGGCUAAACCAUGCACCGAAGCUGCGGCAGCGACACUGUGUGUUGUUGGGUAGGGGAGCGUUCUGUAAGCCUGUGAAGGUGUGUCGUGAGGCAUGCUGGAGGUAUCAGAAGUGCGAAUGCUGACAUAAGUAACGAUAAAGCGGGUGAAAAGCCCGCUCGCCGGAAGACCAAGGGUUCCUGUCCAACGUUAAUCGGGGCAGGGUGAGUCGACCCCUAAGGCGAGGCCGAAAGGCGUAGUCGAUGGGAAACGGGUUAAUAUUCCCGUACUUGGUGUUACUGCGAAGGGGGGACGGAGAAGGCUAUGUUGGCCGGGCGACGGUUGUCCCGGUUUAAGCGUGUAGGUGUGUGUUCCAGGUAAAUCCGGUUCACUUUAACACUGAGGCGUGACGACGAGGCACUACGGUGCUGAAGCAACAAAUGCCCUGCUUCCAGGAAAAGCCUCUAAGCAUCAGGUAACAUCAAAUCGUACCCCAAACCGACACAGGUGGUCAGGUAGAGAAUACCAAGGCGCUUGAGAGAACUCGGGUGAAGGAACUAGGCAAAAUGGUGCCGUAACUUCGGGAGAAGGCACGCUGACACGUAGGUGAAGUGAUUUACUCAUGGAGCUGAAGUCAGUCGAAGAUACCAGCUGGCUGCAACUGUUUAUUAAAAACACAGCACUGUGCAAACACGAAAGUGGACGUAUACGGUGUGACGCCUGCCCGGUGCCGGAAGGUUAAUUGAUGGGGUCAGCGCAAGCGAAGCUCCUGAUCGAAGCCCCGGUAAACGGCGGCCGUAACUAUAACGGUCCUAAGGUAGCGAAAUUCCUUGUCGGGUAAGUUCCGACCUGCACGAAUGGCGUAAUGAUGGCCAGGCUGUCUCCACCCGAGACUCAGUGAAAUUGAACUCGCUGUGAAGAUGCAGUGUACCCGCGGCAAGACGGAAAGACCCCGUGAACCUUUACUAUAGCUUGACACUGAACAUUGAGCCUUGAUGUGUAGGAUAGGUGGGAGGCUUUGAAGUGUGGACGCCAGUCUGCAUGGAGCCGACCUUGAAAUACCACCCUUUAAUGUUUGAUGUUCUAACGUGGACCCGUUACCCGGGUUGCGGACAGUGUCUGGUGGGUAGUUUGACUGGGGCGGUCUCCUCCUAAAGAGUAACGGAGGAGCACGAAGGUUGGCUAAUCUUGGUCGGACAUCAGGAGGUUAGUGCAAUGGCAUAAGCCAGCUUGACUGCGAGCGUGACGGCGCGAGCAGGUGCGAAAGCAGGUCAUAGUGAUCCGGUGGUUCUGAAUGGAAGGGCCAUCGCUCAACGGAUAAAAGGUACUCCGGGGAUAACAGGCUGAUACCGCCCAAGAGUUCAUAUCGACGGCGGUGUUUGGCACCUCGAUGUCGGCUCAUCACAUCCUGGGGCUGAAGUAGGUCCCAAGGGUAUGGCUGUUCGCCAUUUAAAGUGGUACGCGAGCUGGGUUUAGAACGUCGUGAGACAGUUCGGUCCCUAUCUGCCGUGGGCGCUGGAGAACUGAGGGGGGCUGCUCCUAGUACGAGAGGACCGGAGUGGACGCAUCACUGGUGUUCGGGUUGUCAUGCCAAUGGCACUGCCCGGUAGCUAAAUGCGGAAGAGAUAAGUGCUGAAAGCAUCUAAGCACGAAACUUGCCCCGAGAUGAGUUCUCCCUGAGACUUAGAGUCUCCUGAAGGAACGUUGAAGACGACGACGUUGAUAGGCCGGGUGUGUAAGCGCAGCGAUGCGUUGAGCUAACCGGUACUAAUGAACCGUGAGGCUUAACCUU
rnacentral:rRNA from 1 species